rnacentral:lncRNA from 1 species
CUCUUUUGUAAGUCAGAAAACAUGAGACUAACUACAUCAAAGAAUAUUGCCCUAAACAUCCAUAAAUAUCUGUUCCGCUGAACACUGGAGCUAAAACAAAUUGAUUUUACUUCCACAAGUCUCUCUUUAAAAUGUGACUGGUUGGGUGCCCCUGGGACUCUUUGCAUGUUACAGAAGACUGCUCACGCUCAAGAUACAGCAAAAUGUUGCCUUUUAGUUAGACAGAAGACAGCUGUGCUGGGCUCAGUUGUGCUGUGCUGUGCUGUGCUGUGCUGAGCUGGACCAGGCUGGGCUGAGCUGUUCCUGGGAGAGUGAAAGUGAGUGAUGCUUCCUUGCAUCCUGCACUUAGAAACCAGAAGACUUAAAUACAUUCCUGAGAGACUCUCAUGAAGACGGAAUUAAAAUGCUCCCUAACUGCGGAUACCUUAUGGGAAUUCCAGGGAAGUAGAUGCAGGUGGCAUUUGUCAUCAGGUCAUGGAUACAAAAGUAAAAGUCAGGGCUGUCCCAAUGACUAAAAGACACCAUACGAGCAUACAGAGAUGGAAUUUGCAGAAGCAUUGGCCUCCUCCUUGUUUGAUUAGCACCUGGAAGAUUUUCAAAAUAGUUGAAAACAACAGGUGGAAGCCAACUCACUGUGUCUACCAUAACGUCCUGCUUUCGAGUCCAACGCUAAGGACUGGACCACUCCUCAUACUACUGGGAAGAGGAUGACAUGCCUUAUCCCAGGAAGUGGAUUCAUUGCUCUGAUCCAGUCAACUAUGGAGGGCUGGGUGAGUUACAAAGUUACUUCUCACUCCCUAUGGCCUUAAACGGGAUAAGUAAUGUUAGGUAAGGGGAGAAGGUGGUAACGUGUAUACUACAUUUAUGUAGACCUUUCCUUCAAGCCUCAGCUCCAGCCACCUCCUCCAAGAAGCCUUCACUCACCACACACACUGAUUCACAUGCCCUUUCUUGACACGCCCAGAGCAUAUUGGUUAUACCUCAAGGCUGAAUAAGUUCACUAAGGAUAAAGUUUCCCCUUUAUCCCUUGGGUCUAGUCCACAUUUUCAACAUAUUAUAUGUUUAAUAAACACUGAAUUGAAAGAGUUAAUUAGUAUAAAAUGAAUAACAAGCCAUUGUGGGGUGAAACACAGACAAAGUUCAAUAGGUAUAUGAAAAAAUAUUCCACAUCGCUCAUCACCAGGGAAAUGCAAACCAAAAACCACAACGAGGUAUCACCUCACCCAAGUUAGGACAGCUAUUAUCAAAAACACAAAAAAUAAUAAAUGCUGGUGAGGGUGCAAAGAAAAGGGAACUCUUAUAUAUUGUUGGUGGGAAUGUAAACUAGUUCAGUCCUUAUGGAGAACAAUAUGAAGGUUCCUCAAAAAACUAAAUGUAGAACUACCAUGUGAUUGAGCAACACACUACUGGGUACAUAUCCAAAGAAAAUGAAAUCAGUAUGUCGAAGAGACAUCUGCAAUAAACCCCAUGUUUAUUGCAGCACUAUUCGCAAUAGCUAAGAUGUGGAAUCAACCUCACUGUCCAUCAACAGGUGAAUGAAUAAAGAAAAUGUGGUAUAUAUACACAGUGGAAUACUAUUCAGCCGUAAAAAGAGUGAAAUCCUGUCAUUCCCAGCAACUUAGAUGAGCCUGGAGGACAUUAUGCUAAGUGAAAUAAGUCAAGAACAGAAAGAUAAACGUUACAUGUUGUCACUCACGUGUGGAAGAUAUAAAGUUGAUCUCACAGAAGAGAGGAGUAAAAGAGUAGUUACUAGAGUCUGGGAAGGGUGGAGGGAGCAGAGGAUACAGAGCUAUUGGUUGAAGGAUAUAAAAUUACAGCUGGAUAGGAGAAAUAGGUUCAAAUGCUGUCUAGCACUGUAGAAUGACAAUAGUUAACAAUAAUAUAUUUUCAAAUAGCUAGAAGAGAGGAGUUUGAAUGUUUCUAAUACAAAAAGUACUGUGUUUGAGGUCAUGG